CCCGCGGUGCACAAAGAAUUUCUCAUAUCAAGUGAAAUAGGAUUGACUGAUAGAGGUUACUUGUAACUGAAUGAAAGGAAGGCUAACAUAGGGAAAGCUCAGAGAAUGCAGAACUGUUAUCUUCCUUCUUGGAGAAUUGACCUCCUGAAUUCAUAGGGUUUUCUAAAAUUGAUAACCAAAAACUUGCGAAAACUCAAGACUUAGAAUAAGCUAUUUCAGG
rnacentral:lncRNA from 1 species